ensembl:miRNA MIR484 microRNA 484
AGCCUCGUCAGGCUCAGUCCCCUCCCGAUAAACCCCUAAAUAGCGACUUUCCCGGGGGGUGAGCCUGGCUUUUUUGGCG